rnacentral:rRNA from 1 species
AGCGAACGCUGGCGGCAGGCCUAACACAUGCAAGUCGAACGAACUCUUCGGAGUUAGUGGCGGACGGGUGAGUAACACGUGGGAACGUGCCUUUAGGUUCGGAAUAACUCAGGGAAACUUGUGCUAAUACCGAAUGUGCCCUUCGGGGGAAAGAUUUAUCGCCUUUAGAGCGGCCCGCGUCUGAUUAGCUAGUUGGUGAGGUAAAGGCUCACCAAGGCGACGAUCAGUAGCUGGUCUGAGAGGAUGAUCGGCCACAUUGGGACUGAGACACGGCCCAAACUCCUACGGGAGGCAGCAGUGGGGAAUCUUGCGCAAUGGGCGAAAGCCUGACGCAGCCAUGCCGCGUGAAUGAUGAAGGUCUUAGGAUUGUAAAAUUCUUUCACCGGGGACGAUAAUGACGGUACCCGGAGAAGAAGCCCCGGCUAACUUCGUG